rnacentral:rRNA from 1 species
UACGUAGGUGGCAAGCGUUGUCCGGAUUUACUGGGCGUAAAGAGCGCGCAGGCGGCCGGGUAAAGUCGGAAUGUGAAAGCCCCCGGCUCAACUGGGGAACGUCAUUCGAUACUGUUCGGCUGCGAAGAUAGGAGAGGGAAGCGGAAUUCAGGUGUAGUGGUGAAAUGCGUAGAUAUCUGAAGGAACACCAGUGGCGAAGGCGGCUUUCUGGCCGUAUUCUUGACGCUGAGGCGCGAAAGCUAGGGGAGCGAACGGG